rnacentral:tRNA from 1 species
UCCUCGGUAGCUCAAUGGUAGAGCGACCGGCUGUUAACCGGUUGGUUGUUGGUUCGAGUCCAGCCCGAGGAGCCA